AACGUAGGAGACAAACGUUAUCCGGAGUUACUGGGCGUAAAGGGCGUGUAGGUGGUUUUGUAAGUCUGGCGUGAAAUUUUUCGGCUUAACCGGGAAAGGUCGUCGGAUACUGCAAGGCUAGAGGACGGUAGAGGCGUGUGGAAUUCCGGGUGUAGUGGUGAAAUGCGUAGAGAUCCGGAGGAACACCAGUGGCGAAGGCGACACGCUGGGCCGUACCUGACACUGAUGCGCGACAGCGUGGGGAGCAAACAGG
rnacentral:rRNA from 1 species